UGGGGAAUAUUGCACAAUGGGCGAAAGCCUGAUGCAGCAACGCCGCGUGAGCGAUGAAGGCCUUCGGGUCGUAAAGUUCUGUCCUCAAGGAAGAUAAUGACGGUACUUGAGGAGGAAGCCCCGGCUAACUACGUGCCAGCAGCCGCGGUAAUACGUAGGGGGCUAGCGUUAUCCGGAAUUACUGGGCGUAAAGGGUGCGUAGGUGGUUUCUUAAGUCAGAGGUGAAAGGCUACGGCUCAACCGUAGUAAGCCUUUGAAACUGAGAAACUUGAGUGCAGGAGAGGAGAGUAGAAUUCCUAGUGUAGCGGUGAAAUGCGUAGAUAUUAGGAGGAAUACCAGUUGCGAAGGCGGCUUGCUGGACGACAACUGACGUUGAGGCUCGAAAGCGUGGGGAGCAAACAGG
rnacentral:rRNA from 2 species